rnacentral:rRNA from 1 species
AUUGAACGCUGGCGGCGGGCCUAACACAUGCAAGUCGAGCGGAGCGUCGGACGGGUGCGUAAGGCCUAGGAAUCUGCCUGGUAGUGAGGUAUCCCGUCCGGAAGCGGGCGCUAAUACCUCAUGCUUGAAGCUCAGCCUCGGUCGGAUUCGCUAGUUGGUGGGGUAGAGGCCUACCAAGGCGACGAUCCGUAACUGGUCUGAGAGGAUGAUCAGUCACACUGGAACUGGGACACGGUCCAGACUGCUACGGGAGGGAGCAGUGGGGAAUAUUGGGCAAUGGGCGCUAGCCUGAACCAGCCAAGUAGCGUGAAGGAUGAUGGUCUAUGGGUCGUAAAUUUCUUUAUAUAAGAAUAAGGUAUUAUAUGAAUAAGGAUCGGCUAACUCCGUGCCAGCAGCCGCGGUAAUAC